GAUUCUGGCUCAGGAUGAACGCUGGCGGCGUGCCUAACACAUGCAAGUCGAACGGAGUUAUAUAACGGAAGUUUUCGGAUGGAAGAUAUGUAACUUAGUGGCGGACGGGUGAGUAACGCGUGGGCAACCUGCCCUGUACCGGGGGAUAACACUUAGAAAUAGGUGCUAAUACCGCAUAAGCGCACAGUUUCGCAUGAAGCAGUGUGAAAAACUCCGGUGGUACAGGAUGGACCCGCGUCUGAUUAGCUAGUUGGUGGGGUAGAGGCCUACCAAGGCGACGAUCAGUAGCCGGCCUGAGAGGGUGACCGGCCACAUUGGGACUGAGACACGGCCCAAACUCCUACGGGAGGCAGCAGUGGGGAAUAUUGCACAAUGGGGGAAACCCUGAUGCCAGCGACGCCGCGUGAGUGAAGAAGUAUUUCGGUACGUAAAGCUCUAUCAGCAGGGAAGAAAAUGACGGUACCUGACUAAGAAGCCCCGGCUAACUACGUGCCAGCAGCAGC
rnacentral:rRNA from 1 species